GGUUUGACGGUACCCGUUGAAUAAGCNNGGCUAACUCCGUGCCAGCAGCCGCGGUAAUACGGAGGGUGCAAGCGUGUCCGGAAUCAUUGGGUGUAAAGGGUGCGUAGGCGGGGUNUUAAGUCUGUGGUGAANUCUUACCGCUCAACGGUAAACGUGCCAUGGAAACUGGGAUUCUUGAGUGUGACAGAGGCAGGUGGAAUUCGUAGUGUAGCGGUGAAAUGCAUAGAUAUUACGAAGAACACCAGUGGCGAAGGCGGCCUGCUGGGUCACAACUGACGCUGAGGCACGAGAGCGUGGGGAGCGAACAGGAUUAGAUACCCUGGUAGUCCACGCUGUAAACGAUGUAUGCUAGGUGUUGGAUGCUCUUAUGGAGUGUUCAGUGCUGCAGCUGACGCAGUAAGCAUACCACCUGGGGAGUACGUUCGCAAGAAUGAAACUCAAAGGAAUUGACGGGGGCCCGCACAAGCGGUGGAGCAUGUGGCUUAAUUCGAUGCAACGCGAAGAACCUUACCCGGGCUAAAUCUGCCCUGCUACUCCCCGAAAAGGGAGGUUCCUUCGGGACAGGGUGGAAGGUGCUGCAUGGCUGUCGUCAGCUCGUGCCGUGAGGUGUUGGGUUAAGUCCCGCAACGAGCGCAACCCCUGUGGUCAGUUACCAACGAGUAAUGUCGGGGACUCUGGCCAGACUGCCUACGCAAGUAGUGAGGAAGGUGGGGACGACGUCAAGUCAUCAUGGCCCUUACGUCCGGGGCUGCACACGUGCUACAAUGGUCGGUACAGAGGGCAGCUGCUGCGCGAGCAGUGGCCAAUCCGUAAAGCCGAUCCCAGUUCGGAUCGGAGUCUGCAACUCGACUCCGUGAAGUUGGAAUCGCUAGUAAUCGCGUAUCAGCAAUGACGCGGUGAAUACGUUCCCGGGCCUUGUACACACCGCCCGUCAAGCGACGGAAGUGGGUAGUACCUGACGAUGCCGUGCUAACCUUCGGGAGGCAGGUAUCCAGGGUAAGACUCGCAGCUGGCGCU
rnacentral:rRNA from 1 species